CGCGGGGAUCCGCGCUCCGCGGCCGCGCAGUCGUCCGGGGCUGCGCCAUGUGGACGCGGGCGCGGCUGGGCGCGCCGGCUGAGUUCGCUGCUGCCCUUAGGGGCCCGCGGCGCGGCGGCCGAACAGCGAGCCGGGAGGCGAUGCAGAGGGCAGGCCGGCGGGACCGAGAGCCGGGCCGCUGUGCAGACUGGCGGCGGCGAGGCAGCCAGGAGGAGGACAGAGCUGUGAAAUACGGUCUUCAGACAUCAUCAGACCAAACAUCACCAGAGAGAUGAACUGACUGGUGUAAGCCUGCGGACAACACGGCGGCGUCAGCAGAGCCAGGGUGAACGAGCACGUGGCAACCACCCAAGACGAGACAGGUCGCUGGGCUUCCCUCUCGGCCUCCUGCCACCCCCCCGCGCGGGUGCCCAUGUGGCUCCUUCUACCUUGGUGCUGGCCACGCCGAUCUCUGGUCCCGCGUUGAUGUGGACGCCGCAGUCAGUCUCCCGGGAGAUGGAGCUGCCCACGGUGUUGGUGACGCCCACGGUCAGGGCCCGGCGGUCCUUACAGUAACGCAGCGCCAGGAGGGUGUCUGCGGUCUCGCCUGCCACACAUGUCCUUCUUUUCAGCUCACAGGCGCUGGCUUGGCCAGCCCGCACCCCCAACCCCCAACUCAUUUACUUUUCUUAGCCAGAAAUUGGGGCCCGGACACAGUGCUCAGAAAGGAAAAUGCGUGCUCAACAAUUUUUCUGGUUGAUUCUUAGAUUCAAGAUUUUGCUUCUUUUUAUGUGGCAAGCACUCUCAUUCACUGUCUCACUGAACUCUCAUGACAACUCCAUGGGGGCUGGCACCCCUGUUUUCCCUUGAGGAUGGGGUGCUCAGAGGCGGAGAAAAUUGAUGUCUCAUUUGCUCAAGGCCAAGUAGCUGCGGCUGAAGGGCAGGCCUAGCCCCCCCGUGCCCUUUCCCAGACGCUGAACUGCCUUUUUCAGGAUGGGCUGGGAUUUAACGUUGUUUUUUAAGAAUGUCCCUAAAUGGUGCUUCUCAAGCAGAUUUUGUUUUGUUUUUUAAAUUAAAAAAAAAAUUGGGGGGGAGGUAAUUAGGUUUUAAUAUUUAUUUAUAUUUAGAGGAGGGACUGGGGACUGAACGUAGGACUUUGUGUAUGCUAUGCAUGUGCUCUGCCCCUGAGCUAUACCCUCCCCCCCAUCAGACAGAUUUUGUUUCAAAGGAGAACAGCUUCUUGGAGCCUCCCAGUUGUGGACUCAAAUUAUUUUCAUAAUAAAGCUACCUAAAUACGUUCAUGCAAAAGUCAGCACAAACUCCUUAUGUUUCUAAAUCCUAAGAACUCAAGCUAAAGUAAACGCGAUCCAGACCAUAAAACCAAACGUUCACAGCCACCGCUCUUGGCUAUGCUGUCCCAGCGUCUCUGCGGGCAGGCUGCGGCUACUACCGCCAGCUCCCCUCAGACCAGUGCCCAGCACACUGGGGUGUCACAUGGCCCUCCCUCAGUGUCACUGGGGGCGAAGGCUGGGGAGCAGGGAGGCUCUGCCUUCAUCAGCUGCCCCUUCACCAGUUUCUGAUAGCUUCUAAAAAUUUGAAAUAAAGGGCUAAACAAAAUGAAAGUUGAAGCCCCUUUUAGGAAGUCACUCAGGAGCUGCCACUGCAUUAUCUUCACAUUAAACCCAUCUCUGUCGUUUGGUCAGUGGCUUCCACCAAUUCAUGACACAUUCUGAGGCUCUGGUGGGACUGUAAACGCAAAGGCAGCAGUGACAGCUGAAGCCCGCGGGCCGUGCCUGGUCCGAGGCGAUCCGCUAGGUGGCGAGUGUGUCUGCAUUAGUUUCUGUCAGCUUGUCACCGAGAUGGAAAUGUAUUAAAAGCUCGAAAUGACAAAGAAUAUGAAAAUGAAUAUAUGUAUGUAUGUGGAUGACUGAAACAUGAUGCUUACACUGGAAGCUGACACACUGUGACUGAGUACGCUUCAAUCAAAACAAAAAGUUAAAAAUGAAGCGAUAUUAAAAGGUA